UGAGAGAUUCCUAUGUGCAAGAUGAGGUAUUAGAGGCUGAAGAGUUGAAGAAGGUGGAUUGUCUGCCCUCCCAGCCACUUAGAAGCUAAAUAAAGGGAAAUACUGGCAAUAUAACCACAGAGUAGAAGGAUUUUAAAACACAAGGUAAGAAGAUGUUGAAGAUUACACUCUACUGGGGACAUUAAAGAAAUAUAACCCACAGGACUGGAUGGCAAAAAAGUGCUAUACUAUUCUUUUGGUCCCUUUGCCGUAUGUUAAGGAAGCGAUUUUCAUAAAAUCCUGUGGACACACAGAGGAGUAGAUCACUUACAUAUGGGAAAAUCCAGAAGUCUCGAGGGGAAUGCAUUUGACAUGGUUAUUAGCGGGGACUUCAACAGAAAGCAAUGGGAAAAGGAGCAGUAGAGGAAAGAACACCUGAAGAAAAACAGAGACCUGAACACGUGUAGAAAAUAAAAAUGUAUCGCAGCUCAACGUCUCCAUUCCCAGACCUCCACCUUCCAACAGUCACUCCAGUGCCAGCGGCAAUGAGUGAGGGGACGUGUGAAAGGUGCAUUCCAUUUCUAGGGUCACUUCCAGGGCUUUAGGAGGGACUAAUUCUAUCUCAUCAGCUUCCAGGUUCAGCUGCCACGGGUGGCGACCAACAACCUCUUUUGGUGUUGUUAUUUUUUUUCUCUGGCUCCAAGUUUGCAGGCGGAAUGAACAAGGCAAGCAACAGACCCUACUGCAGCCUGUUCCCUACAAGCACAGAGACCACUGGGGCUUCUCUAACUCAGAAAACCCACUAGGUCUAAUAGCAAAAUCAGCUUCCAGAUCUGAAAGUGUACAAGACACAGAAAAGCAGGAGAUUUGGUUCAAAUUUUGCAUAAAAAGUACAAAAUUCAAGAAGGAAGAGUAAAAUAAAUUUGCAUAAUCUCAUCUAAAAGAAUAUUUUAAAAACCUGUGCUUUAGCAAAGAAAAAAGAUUAUACCCACAAGGGGGUGGACAGAUUCCAAAAAAGAUGGACAAAUAAAAGCAAUGUAUUAGAUGCAUAUGAGAGCAAUCCAAAAUUCUCCAUUUGAAAAUACACAGAAAAUGAGUUCAAAACAUACCGUAAGACAGCAG
rnacentral:lncRNA from 1 species